UACGUAGGGACCAAGCGUUGUUCGGAUUUACUGGGCGUAAAGGGCGCGUAGGCGGCGCGGUAAGUCACGUGUGAAAUCUCUGAGCUUAACUCAGAACGGCCAAGUGAUACUGCAGUGCUAGAGUGUGGAAGGGGCAAUCGGAAUUCUUGGUGUAGCGGUGAAAUGCGUAGAUAUCAAGAGGAACACCUGAGGUGAAGACGGGUUGCUGGGCCAACACUGACGCUGAGGCGCGAAAGCCAGGGGAGCAAACGGG
rnacentral:rRNA from 1 species